AGACGCGAGGGCAAAGGCCCAGGAGGACUGUGGGGCUCUCGGAAGUAUCCGAUCACCUUGCGAGGAGUCCGCCGGCUGUCCGAGCCUGAUGUCACUGCAACUUCGAUUCCUCCGACGCCCCUACUCUUACUUCCCAGUCUUCAGGCAACUUCUCCGCUUCGGCCUCCCCUAGGCCUUGGCCCCAGAGAGGGGACGCACUCCACAGGUGGAUUCGCACGUGUGGGCCCUCGGCAGCAC
rnacentral:lncRNA from 1 species